UUGGAGGGCAAGUCUGGUGCCAGCAGCCGCGGUAAUUCCAGCUCCAAUAGCGUAUAUUAAAGUUGUUGCAGUUAAAAAGCUCGUAGUUGAAUUUCGGGAUUAGUACGUCGGUCGUGCCUUAGGUACGUACUGGUGUUACUGGUUCCUACCUUCUGACGAACCAUCAUGUCAUUAAUUUGGUGUGGUGGGGAAUCAGGACUGUUACUUUGAAAAAAUUAGAGUGUUUAAAGCAGGCUCGCGCUUGAAUACAUUAGCAUGGAAUAAUGAAAUAGGACGUUGAUCCUAUUUUGUUGGUUUCUAGGAUUGACGUAAUGAUUAAUAGGGAUAGUUGGGGGCAUUAGUAUUCAAUUGUCAGAGGUGAAAUUCUUGGAUUUAUUGAAGACUAACUACUGCGAAAGCAUUUGCCAAGGAUGUUUUCAUUAAUCAAGAACGAAAGUUAGGGGAUCGAAGACGAUCAGAUACCGUCGUAGUUUUAACCAUAAACUAUGCCGACUAGGGAUCGGAUGAUGUUAAUUUUUUAAUGACUCAUUCGGCACCUUACGGGAAAC
rnacentral:rRNA from 1 species